AGACCUGUGGUGUAGUUGGUAGCACUUUAGCUUAGUAAGUACAAGUCCCAGGUUCAAGUCCCAGGUAGGGUAA